rnacentral:piRNA from 1 species
CAUGAUGAUGUGUAUGGUGGGGCUC